rnacentral:lncRNA from 1 species
AUGUCUUUGACUUAUGGUGUUGAGAGCCACAGCUGAAGGGGCCCCAGCAAACUUUCAGACUGCCAGCUGAUGAUUGGCUCACAGCGGCCCCAGCAACAUCUAGCUGAUUGGCUCCUCUGCGGUGAUGCUCAUUGGGCUGUUUCCCCGCCCUUUCAGACUACGGAGCUGCUCAUUGGGGGACUUUUUUGGCUACGCCCACAUAACCCAGCCAAUUGGCCUCAAGAGCAGGAGGAGUGGGGGAGGUUGAGAGGCUUGUGGGAAGCUGGUGGUGGCAGUUGGGCUGUGAGGGUUUUUCCUGAGGAGCUGUUUUGUUUGGCAUGUGUGGUUCUAAAAAUAAAGUUCGUUUCUUUUGACAAGUGGCUCCUGAAUUGUGCCCAGCCAGACUGCGGCAUUAUGGGUGUUGAUUUUAUAUCCUGCGCUGAAUUCAUUUACUAGUUCUAGAAGUUUUCUUGUGGAAUUUUUUGGGUAUAGAAUCAUAUCCUCAGCAAAUAGUGCUAAUUUGAGUUCUUCUUUUCCUAUCCAUAUCCCUUUAAUUUCUUUUGUCUAAUUGCUCUGGCCAGUGUUUUAAGAACUAUGUUAAAUAGAAGUGGUGAAAGAAGGUAUCCCUGUCUUGUUCCAGGUUUUAGAGGGAAUGCCUUCAGUUUGUCUCCAUUUAGAAUGAUAUUGCCCUGGGGCUUAGCAUAGAUAGCCUUUAUGAUGUUGAGCUGUGUUCCUGUUAUCUCCAAUUUUUCUAGUGUUUUGAAUUUGAAGCAGUGCUGUAUUUUGUUGAAUGCCUUUUCUGCAUCUAUUGAGAUGAUCAUAUGAUUCUUAUCUUUAAGUCUAUUGAUGUGUGAUGAAUUAAUUAUAUUUAUUGAUUUCUGUAUGUUGAACCAACUUUGCAUCCCUGGGAUGAAUCCCACUUGAUUGUAGUGCAUUAUCUUUUUGAUAUGUUUUUGUUUUUGGUUUGCCAGGAUUUUAUUGAGAAGUUUUUGCAUGUAUGUUCAUUAGAGAUAUUGGUCUGAAGUUUUCUUUCUUUGAUGUGUCUUUGUCCAGUUUGGGGAUCAGGUGAUAUUGGCCUCAUAGAAUGAGUUUGGAAGUGCUCCCUCUUUUUCUAUUUCCUAAAAUAAAUUGAAGAAUAUUGGUAUUAGUUCUUCCUUAAAGGCUUAUAGAAGUCGGCUGUGUAUCCAUCUGGUCCUAGGAUUUUCUUGGUUGGUAGGGUUCUGAUGGCAUCUUUUAUUGGUCUGUUUAAAUUGUGUAUAUCAUCCCGAUUCAAUCUGGGCAGAUUAUAUGACUUAAGAAAUUUGUCGAUGCCUUCGAUGUUUUCUAUUUUAUUGGAGUACAAGUUUUCAAAAUAAUUUCUAAUUAUUUUCUGUAUUUUUGCAGUGUCUGUUGUGAUGUUACCUUUUUCUUCAUGUAUGUUAGUAAUUUGAGUUUUCUGUCUCCUUCUCUUCAUUAGCAUAGCUAAGGGUCUGUCAAUUUUAUUUUUUUUCAAAGAACCAACUUUUUGUUUUAUCAGUUUUUUUCAGUUGUUCCUUUUGUUUCAAUUUCAUUGAUUUCAGGUCUAAUUUUAAUUAUUUCCCUCUUCUGCUUUUGGUGUUUAUUUGUUCUUCUU